rnacentral:misc_RNA from 1 species
GAUGAAGAACGUAGCGAAAUGCGAUAAGUAAUGUGAAUUGCAGAAUUCAGUGAAUCAUCGAAUCUUUGAACGCACAUUGCGCCUCUUGGUAUUCCGAGGGGCAUGCCUGUUCGAGCGUCAUUAUAACCCCUCAAGCUCAGCUUGGUGUUGGGGCCUGCUGCACUGGCAGCCCUUAAAAUCAGUGGCGGCGCCAUCUGGCUCUAAGCGUAGUAAUUCUUCUCGCUAUGGAGUCCUGGUGGAUGCUUGCCAUCAACCCCCAAUUUUUCUAUGGUUGACCUCGGAUCAGGUAGGGAUACCCGCUGAACUUAAGCAUAUCAAUAAGCGGAGGA